rnacentral:rRNA from 1 species
AGGGUUUGAUUCUGGCUCAGGAUGAACGCUAGCUACAGGCUUAACACAUGCAAGUCGAGGGGCAGCAUGUAUCUGGCUUGCCAGAUACGAUGGCGACCGGCGCACGGGUGAGUAACGCGUAUCCAACCUGCCCCGUACACGGGGAUAGCCUUCCGAAAGGGAGAUUAAUACCCGAUGAUGUCAGGAGUUCGCAUGUAAACCUGACUAAAGUAUUUACGGUACGGGAGGGGGGUGCGUUCCAUUAGGUAGUAGGCGGGGUAACGGCCCACCUAGCCGACGAUGGAUAGGGGUUCUGAGAGGAAGGUCCCCCACAUUGGAACUGAGACACGGUCCAA